CUAAGUUCAGCGGGUAUCCCUACCUGAUCCGAGGUCAAACCUUAUAGAAGUAAAAAAGGUUUUCUGGCCGGUCAUGUCCAGUCCUCCAGAGCGGUUUAUAAUGACUACGCUGGGAGCUGGGCACCACUGCCAAUGAGUUUCAGGCACGUCCCUUUGACAGGACGAUAGGCCCAAUACCAAGCAGAAGCUUGAGGGUUGUA
rnacentral:misc_RNA from 1 species